rnacentral:rRNA from 1 species
GACGAACGCUGGCGGCGUGCUUAACACAUGCGAGUCGAACGCUGAAGCUCAGCUUUUGUUGGGUGGAUGAGUGGCGAACGGGUGAGUAACACGUGAGUAACCUGCCUCCUUCUUUGGGAUAACGCCCGGAAACGGGUGCUAAUACUGGAUAUUCACUGGUCUUCGCAUGGGGGUUGGUGGAAGGGUUUUUCUGGUGGGGGAUGGGCUCGCGGCCUAUCAGCUUGUUGGUGGGGUGAUGGCCUACCAAGGCUUUGACGGGUAGCCGGCCUGAGAGGGUGACCGGUCACAUUGGGACUGAGAUACGGCCCAGACUCCUACGGGAGGCAGCAGUGGGGAAUAUUGCACAAUGGGCGCAAGCCUGAUGCAGCGACGCCGCGUGAGGGAUGGAGGCCUUCGGGUUGUGAACCUCUUUCGCUCAUGGUCAAGCCGCAACAAUGGUUGUGGUGAGGGUAGUGGGUAAAGAAGCGCCGGCUAACUACGUG